rnacentral:rRNA from 1 species
UACGGAGGGGGCUAGCGUUGUUCGGAAUUACUGGGCGUAAAGCGCACGUAGGCGGCUUUGUAAGUUAGAGGUGAAAGCCCGGGGCUCAACUCCGGAAUUGCCUUUAAGACUGCAUCGCUAGAAUUGUGGAGAGGUAAGUGGAAUUCCGAGUGUAGAGGUGAAAUUCGUAGAUAUUCGGAAGAACACCAGUGGCGAAGGCGACUUACUGGACACAUAUUGACGCUGAGGUGCGAAAGCGUGGGGAGCAA